AUACGUAGGGGGCGAGCGUUGUCCGGAAUGAUUGGGCGUAAAGGGCGCGUAGGCGGCCCGGUAAGUCUGGAGUGAAAGUCCUGUUUUUAAGAUGGGAAUUGCUUUGGAUACUGUCGGGCUUGAGUGCAGGAGAGGUAAGUGGAAUUCCCAGUGUAGCGGUGAAAUGCGUAGAGAUUGGGAGGAACACCAGUGGCGAAGGCGACUUACUGGACUGUAACUGACGCUGAGGCGCGAAAGUGUGGGGAGCAAACAGGAUUAGAUACCCUGGUAGUCCACACGGUAAACGAUGAAUGCUAGGUGUAGGGGGUAUCGACCCCUUCUGUGCCGCAGUCAACACAAUAAGCAUUCCGCCUGGGGAGUACGGCCGCAAGGUUGAAACUCAAAGGAAUUGACGGGG
rnacentral:rRNA from 1 species